GGAGUAGGAUGUCGUGCGUUAAGUACCGGUUGGAUGGGAGGUUGCCGCCGGGCGAAGGGUGAUCCCGCGAUACGACAGCCGCAACCGCCUG
rnacentral:ncRNA from 1 species